rnacentral:rRNA from 1 species
UACGUAGGGUGCAAGCGUUGCCCGGAUUUAUUGGGCGUAAAGGGCGCGUAGGCGGCUCUGCACGUUCGUUGUGAAAUCGCCCGGCUCAACUGGGCGGGGUCAGCGGAUACGGCAGAGCUUGAGCAAGCUAGGGGGCAAUGGAAUUCCCGGUGUAGUGGUGGAAUGCGUAGAUAUCGGGAGGAACACCGGUGGCGAAAGCGGCGCGCUGGACCUCUUCUGACGCUGAGGCGCGAAAGCCAGGGGAGCAAACGGG